ACAGAGAAGUAAAAUUUACAUUUAGUUUCGACCUAAAAUUAAAGAUAAUUAUCUUCAUGUU
rnacentral:tRNA from 1 species